rnacentral:rRNA from 1 species
AGUCAAUAGAUACCCGGGUAGUCCACGCCGUAAACGAUGAAUACUAGGUGUGGGGGUUGUCAUGACCUCCGUGCCGCCGCUAAACGCAUUAAGUAUUCCGCCUGGGGAGUACGGUCGCAAGAUUAAAACUCAAAGGAAUUGACGGGGGCCCGCACAAGCAGCGGAGCAUGUGGUUUAAAUUCGAAGCAACGCGAAGAACCUUACCUAGACUUGACAUCUCCUGAAUUACUCUGUAAUGGAGGAAGCCUUUCGGGGCAGGAAGACAGGUGGUGCAUGGUUGUCGUCAGCUCGUGUCGUGAGAUGUUGGGUUAAGUCCCGCAACGAGCGCAACCCUUAUUGUUAGUUGCUACCAUUUAGUUGGGCACUCUAGCGAGACUGCCCGGGUUAACCGGGAGGAAGGUGGGGAUGACGUCAAAUCAUCAUGCCCCUUAUGUCUAGGGCUACACACGUGCUACAAUGGCUGGUACAGAGAGAUGCAAUACCGUGAGGUGGAGCCAAACUUCAAAACCAGUCUCAGUUCGGAUUGUAGGCUGAAACUCGCCUAC